UAAUCUGGGUUAGACUGCACUUGUUUCAGGCCUGUCAGGUAGACACAGAUGGGCACAUGGGACUGAGAUAUGACACAAACAUGGCUGAGGGAGGGGCAGGACUGGCAGUUCGAUGUUCCAGGCUAUAGAUGCUCACACAGAGAGGGGUGAGGGUCUGGAACAGAUGGUCAGAGGUUAAGGGUGACCAGAACUGGACAGAGUAUUCCAGAACAGGCCUUACCAAUGUCCUGAACAACCUCAACAUGACGUCCAACUCCUGUACUCAAAGGUCUGAGCACUACAGGCAAGCAAGCUAAACGUCCUCUUACCCACCCUGUCUAUCUGUGACAGUCCCUUCAAACAAUGAUGUACCUGAGUCCCUAGGUCCCUCUGUUCGACGGCACCAUCCAGGGCCCGACCAUUGCUUGUACAAGUCUGGUUCUGGUUUGUUUUACUGCAAUGUAAUACCAAAUUAAACUCCAUCUGCCAAUCUUCAGUC